rnacentral:rRNA from 1 species
UACGGAGGAUCCAAGCGUUAUCCAGAUUUAUUGGGUUUAAAGGGUGCGCAGGCGGAAGAUUAAGUCGGCGGUGAAAUUUUGCAGCUCAACUGUAAAAGUGCCAUCGAUACUGGUUUUCUUGAGUGUGGAUGAAGUAGGCGGAAUUUGUGGUGUAGCGGUGAAAUGCAUAGAUAUCACGAGGAACUCCGAUUGCGCAGGCAGCUUACUAGGCCAUAACUGACGCUCAGGCACGAAGGCGUGGGGAUCAAACAGGAUUA